rnacentral:tRNA from 1 species
GUAUUUAUAGUUUAAAAAAACAAUAGAUUGUGAAUCUAGAAUUUUGGUUUAAAACCACUAAAUACC